UGAUAAAAUAAGAACUGCAACAUAUGUCACUCCAUUGCCCACCUGGAUUGAUUCAGAUGAUCUGGUUGGCUAGAUUGAUGUUCCCUUUCUCUUUCCAUAUUCCAUGUGCAUUGCUCCCAAAGUUGCAUGCUUAGCAAAAGAUGAUAACCAUUUCAUGUAGAAAUGUAGCACUGUACUCUUAGUCAACAUUGUCAUUAAAUCAAAUGCAAUGGGCAAUGACAUU
ensembl:misc_RNA 7SK 7SK RNA